rnacentral:rRNA from 1 species
UGNUCUGUCACUGACGCUGAGGCUCGAAAGCGUGGGUAGCGAACAGGAUUAGAUACCCUGGUAGUNCACGCCGUAAACGAUGAGUGCUAGGUGUUAGGCCCUUUCCGGGGCUUAGUGCCGGAGCUAACGCAAUAAGCACUCCGCUUGGGGAGUACGACCGCAAGGCUGAAACUCAAAGGAAUUGACGGGGGCCCGCACAAGCGGUGGAGCAUGUGGUUUAAUUCGAAGCAACGCGAAGAACCUUACCAGGUCUUGACAUCCCGAUGCUAUUCUUAGAGAUAGGAAGUUACUUCGGUACAUCGGAGACAGGUGGUGCAUGGUUAUCGUCAGCUCGUGUCGUGAGAUGUUGGGUUAAGUCCCGCAACGAGCGCAACCCUUAUUGUUAGUUGCCAUCAUUAAGUUGGGCACUCUAGCGAGACUGCCGGUAAUAAACCGGAGGAAGGUGGGGAUGACGUCAAAUCAUCAUGCCCCUUAUGACCUGGGCUACACACGUGCUACAAUGGUCGGUACAACGAGUUGCGAGCCGGUGACGGCAAGCUAAUCUCUGAAAGCCGAUCUCAGUUCGGAUUGGAGGCUGCAACUCGCCUCCAUGAAGUCGGAAUCGCUAGUAAUCGCGGAUCAGCACGCCGCGGUGAAUACGUUCCCGGGCCUUGUACACACCGCCCGUCACACCACGAGAGUUUGUAACACCCGAA